rnacentral:tRNA from 1 species
GUGCGCCUUGUCGAGGUUCCAGUCGGUGUCGGUCGUGCCGAUGAUCCAGUGGCGGCCGCGCGGGAUGACGAAGAGCACGCUCUUCGAGGUGCGCA